rnacentral:rRNA from 1 species
UGCGUAGGCGGAUUAAUAAGUCAGUGGUGAAAUCUUUCGGCUCAACCGAGAAACUGCCAUUGAUACUGUUUAUCUUGAGUUCGGUAGAGGUAGGCGGAAUGUGUAAUGUAGCGGUGAAAUGCUUAGAUAUUACACAGAACACCAAUUGCGUAGGCAGCUUACUAUGCCGACACUGACGCUGAGGCACGAAAGCGUGGGGAGCGAACAGGAUUAGAUACCCUGGUAGUCC